rnacentral:rRNA from 1 species
GAUCCUGGCUCAGAUUGAACGCUGGCGGCAUGCCUUACACAUGCAAGUCGAACGGCAGCACGGGUGCUUGCACCUGGUGGCGAGUGGCGAACGGGUGAGUAAUACAUCGGAACGUACCUUAUCGUGGGGGAUAACGCAGCGAAAGCUGUGCUAAUACCGCAUACGCCCUGAGGGGGAAAGCGGGGGAUCGAAAGACCUCGCGCGAUUAGAGCGGCCGAUGCCUGAUUAGCUUGUUGGUGGGGUAAAAGCCCACCAAGGCGACGAUCAGUAGCUGGUCUGAGAGGACGAUCAGCCACACUGGGACUGAGACACGGCCCAGACUCCUACGGGAGGCAGCAGUGGGGAAUUUUGGACAAUGGGGGAAACCCUGAUCCAGCAAUGCCGCGUGAGUGAAGAAGGCCUUCGGGUUGUAAAGCUCUUUUGUCAGGGAAGAAACACCGGCUCUAACACAGUCCGGGAAUGACGGUACCUGAAGAAUAAGCACCGGCUAACUACGUG